UGGGGAAUUUUGGACAAUGGGCGAAAGCCUGAUCCAGCAAUGCCGCGUGUGUGGAGAAGGCCUUCGGGUUGUAAAGCACUUUUGUCCGGAAAGAAAUCCUUGGCUCUAAUACAGUCGGGGGAUGACGGUACCGGAAGAAUAAGCACCGGCUAACUACGUGCCAGCAGCCGCGGUAAUACGUAGGGUGCAAGCGUUAAUCGGAAUUACUAGGCGUAAAGCGUGCGCAGGCGGUUUGCUAAGACCGAUGUGAAAUCCCCGGGCUCAACCUGGGAACUGCAUUGGUGACUGGCAGGCUAGAGUAUGGCAGAGGGGGGUAGAAUUCCACGUGUAGCAGUGAAAUGCGUAGAGAUGUGGAGGAAUACCGAUGGCGAAGGCAGCCCCCUGGGCCAAUACUGACGCUCAUGCACGAAAGCGUGGGGAGCAAACAGGAUUAGAUACCCUGGUAGUCCACGCCCUAAACGAUGUCAACUAGUUGUUGGGGAUUCAUUUCCUUAGUAACGUAGCUAACGCGUGAAGUUGACCGCCUGGGGAGUACGGUCGCAAGA
rnacentral:rRNA from 1 species